rnacentral:lncRNA from 1 species
AUGUGGAACAAGGUCACUUCUGAAGGAGCUGGAGACAAGUCUGAAUCUAGCAUAGACGAGCUGACUACCUGCCAGCUGCGGAUCAAAAUGCUAGAAAAGCAGCUGGAGUACGUAGACGUUGAAAUACAAAAAGAGAAGGAGGCUGGCAAUGUUGCAGCCCUGUUCCGCCUACGGGCAGUGCACAGGCGACUGUGCACUGAACUGGAGGAUGAGAAGGAUUUUGAGUUGAAAAUUGCUUUGACGCUGAAAGAAAACAUGCUUGAGAUGUGGCGGAUAGAAACUGAGCAGGGAAAAUAUGAAGCCCUCCAUAAACAACUUCAAAAAGAUGAGGAGGAGCUAGAGACUCAAUACCAAGAAAAAGCAGAAGCACGGAUUCAUAAGGAAAAAAUAGCAGCACUGCAAGCAGAAGAAAAUCAGCUGUCAAGAAAAAAGUAAGCGCCUACCAGUCAGACUCUGCUUCCUUUCUCUCUUUUACUUUUAGCUAGUUU